UUGUAAAUUUUUCUAAAACUCCCUUUUUAUAUAUGGUAUAGAGGUAUUGAUUAACCUUUUUAUAAUUAGCCAAUUUCAUAUCACCAGCAAACCGAGUACUCAAUUCAGAAUCCACAUUCCACAAAAUAUUUUCUGACGAAGUGUAAAUUUGAGACUUUAAAGGUAAAAGAAUCAAGAAAGCCAUACCUUGUUGAGUAAUUCGGCCCCAGCGUUGAAAUUUGCAACCCCCCUAAAUCAAAUAGAUACAGAGAAGAAGCAAAGGGCUUCGGAAACAGUGGUUCAGAGAACAUGUGGUGGGGUGACCUAAAAGCUGCCUUAGGCAGAGAAUCAACCUCGAAGACAUCGCUUGCGCCGUGGAAUUUGGUCGAAAGAGCAGCAUUUGGGGGUCACGCUUCUCAUUGUGAUGGGUACAAAGCUAGGAUUCGAUUGGGACAACAGUGAAUGUAGGCAAUGUUGCAGCAUGCUGUUUGGGAUUACGAAUGCUACUUACCUUCCAGCCCUUGGGAAUCAUAUAUCCAUCGAAUUCAAUAUCUUGGAUUGCUUUUCUAAAAGACCCGAAAAUUGGAGGGAAAAUCCUGAUGCUCUCGCGUGCCACUUGCCAUGUGUAGUUCAUCUUCUUCACAUCCUCGUACGUGAGAGCUUCGCCUGGAGAGCAUAGCAGUUUGGAUGAUGAGCCAGCAUCCUGAAGGUCAUGGCAAUGGCGAAGGAGGUGGUGUCGUGGGCUGCAAACACGAGCAACACAAUGUUAUCAGCCACCUCCGCCUCAGUAAUCUCACCUCGAAUCAGGGCAGCAACAAACUUGGACAGGAGAAUCCCUCCCCCUUCACUCUGUUCUUGCUCUUGUUGUUCCAUUUCUCUUCUCCUAUCCCUUACAAUCUCCACCAGCAUCUCCUCUAUCUCCUUCCUCACCCUUUUCGCCCUUGAGAAUUUGGACCCUGGGAAGCUAAAAGGGACCGCGAACACCCCUUCAAGAACCUUCUCGAACAUCUCCAACAUCCCGGGUUUCACCUCAAUCCCCAACAAGCAUUCUAGAACAAUAGUAAAUGUCAAAACUUUUGUUAGCCCAUAGAGACUAAUAGUUUUCUCCCCACCACUCCAAUAUCUUUCCAAGUGCAUUGUCACGGUGUUGCAAAUCCUAGGCACCAGAUUGUCAAGGCCGGACGAGCUGAGGCUGGUGGCCACGAUGCCACGUAAGCAGCGGUGCGCCUCCCCUUGUUUCUCCAUGAUCGAGUUCACUCCCAUCAACUGCACGGAGGAGGAGGGCCACGAGCUCACGACUAGCUUGAACUCGUUGGAGAGGAAGAACUUGUUGGCCUCGGCCCCACUCACCACCACAGUUGGGUGGCCCAUCAGCCUCGUCUUGAAGGUGAGGCCGUGCUUUCGGAUGCGGGCUUGAAUGAAGUCUUGGUAAAGCCUAUUUUUCUUUUGAGCUUUGUAGAAAUCUAUGGUUUCACCGACCCAAGGCCAACCCAUCUUCCCCGGAGGCAGUUUCCUCUCA